rnacentral:lncRNA from 1 species
AUUCCAUGUCUGUGUGAAGUUGGCAGGUUCUUAUUUUAAUACGCUGCCUCAUAACCAUCAUCCUAAUCUGAGUUGAGGGGGUGCAUUUUGGCGAUGGAGAAAAACAUAUGUGGAAACUCAAAUAAAGAGAGGUGAAAGAGUCCCCAGGACAACACAAAAAGGUGACAGAGCCACUGAAUUUAAAUCCAUACCCUCUAAUUCAAGGAAAUGAAAGAAGAGUUUUGAAGAGACAGCUGCCCUCCAUGCUCACGGCAGCAUCAUUCAAAACAGCUAAGAUGAAGAAACAACUAAAAAAGUCUGUUGAGAAAUGAAUAAAGAAAUACAAUAAUUUGUUUUUUUCUUCUUCCCACUUUCAACUUGUGAGACCCCAUCACUGCCUUUUGGACUCUUGCUUCUUUUCUGAUUCAUGUUCCUGUUCACCAUCACCUGCCCCACAGCACCCUCACAGGAAAAGAAAAAAAAAAGCCAAAACAAAACCGAUCUCUUUGUUCACUGGAUCAAAAGUCUUUUAUUAUAGUGCAUUCAGACAUUCAGAAUACAUAUAUGAGGCCUGCU